rnacentral:rRNA from 1 species
AACGGACGAGAAGCUUGCUUCUCUGAUGUUAGCGGCGGACGGGUGAGUAACACGUGGAUAACCUACCUAUAAGACUGGGAUAACUUCGGGAAACCGGAGCUAAUACCGGAUAAUAUUUUGAACCGCAUGGUUCAAAAGUGAAAGACGGUCUUGCUGUCACUUAUAGAUGGAUCCGCGCUGCAUUAGCUAGUUGGUAAGGUAACGGCUUACCAAGGCAACGAUGCAUAGCCGACCUGAGAGGGUGAUCGGCCACACUGGAACUGAGACACGGUCCAGACUCCUACGGGAGGCAGCAGUAGGGAAUCUUCCGCAAUGGGCGAAAGCCUGACGGAGCAACGCCGCGUGAGUGAUGAAGGUCUUCGGAUCGUAAAACUCUGUUAUUAGGGAAGAACAUAUGUGUAAGUAACUGUGCACAUCUUGACGGUACCUAAUCAGAAAGCCACGGCUAACUACGUGCCAGCAGCCGCGGUAAUACGUAGGUGGCAAGCGUUAUCCGGAAUUAUUGGGCGUAAAGCGCGCGUAGGCGGUUUUUUAAGUCUGGUGUGAAAGCCCACGGCUCAACCGUGGAGGGUCAUUGGAAACUGGAAAACUUGAGUGCAGAAGAGGCACAGGUGGAAUUCCAUGUGUAGCGGUGAAAUGCGCGGAGAUAUGGAGGAACACCAGUGGCGAAGGCGACUUUCUGGUCUGUAACUGACGCUGAUGUGCGAAAGCGUGGGGAUCAAACAGGAUUAGAUACCCUGGUAGUCCACGCCGUAAACGAUGCCUCCUAAGUGUUAGGGGGUUUCCGCCCCUUAGUGCUGCAGCCAACGCAUUAAGCACUCCGCCUGGGGAGUACGACCGC